AAAGUAACACAAGCGCCUGAACUAUUUUUCGAGCGGUGAAAAAUAGUUGACGAGGUGGAGGUUCAUUCGAAUUAAGUCGGCGGGUACCUCCCGGUUGCACACAUCUCCAACCGAUAGGCUAUCAUUCGAAAACAAUGAGGCGACUCGUUGUACAAGAAUAAUAGCAGAUGAUGUC
rnacentral:ncRNA from 2 species